UCCGACAAUACGCAAAGGGUAAUUCGGACAACUUGGUUGUAGUAACAAAAAUUUUGGUACAUAAAUCACGAAUUUAGCCGCGGUUUUUAUUCGUGUUUAAAUGUUUUUAUCGACACUCUAUAAUUUUCAGUUUUAAGUCUAUAGGUGGUUGAAACUGGUUCGACGAAUGUCCGCGUGUAAGAGCUGCUGAUCUUCUUUGGUUUAUCUCCAUCGAUUUUCAAGGUACUUAGCUUUGUUCCUGGUCCUCUCUUUCUCUCCUCGUUUGGCUGGUGAGGUUUGCUAUGUUGUAUUUGUGUCUUUGGUCGCGUUUGAUUCCUGCUUCCUUCCAUGUUGGUGUGCUACUAAUUUGUCUUCGGUGUGAGGUCAUCCGGUCUUUUUGGUGCUUCCGGCAUUCUCAGUUUCUAUAGGGAAGUUUGGUAGGAGUCUCUCUUGCCUCUGCGCAAUUUUAGUGUUUGGAUUUCAAUAUUUUCCAUAAAGUAUGUUUGCUCUAUAGAAAUUUGUCUUUAUGUUUGGUUCAUUUUGCUUCCCUUGUUUGGGAUUAUGUUUCCCUCUUUUAGGCCAAUGUAUCCGGAGACGUUUCUGUUGUCCGCCAGUAUAUGUAUUUCAACUUGUAUCGUUUCUUUGAAUUUUAAUAAAAUUUCAGACGACAAAAAAAAAAAAAAAU
rnacentral:lncRNA from 1 species